rnacentral:rRNA from 1 species
UACAGAGGGUGCGAGCGUUAAUCGGAAUUACUGGGCGUAAAGCGCACGUAGGUGGCGACGUAAGUCGGGUGUGAAAGCCCCGGGCUCAACCUGGGAAUUGCAUUCGAGACUGCAUUGCUGGAGUACGGAAGAGGAAGGCGGAAUUCCCGGUGUAGCGGUGAAAUGCGCAGAUAUCGGGAGGAACACCAGUAGCGAAGGCGGCUCGCUGGGCCACUCCUGACGCUGAGACGCGAAAGCUAGGGGAGCGAACAGG